UCUUCUAAAUUAAAUGACCAUCUUUGCAAGAGAUCCCACUCCUUUAACAGCAUGCAGUUAAUGGAUUACUGGAGCAUUACUGCAGUAGAAAAGCAAAGUCUAGGUAUCAACUCCAGUAGGAGAAUUCUAUGGAAAUGGCAAUUUCAGCAGUAAACUGAAAGGUCACAAAUGAGGUCAGUAAACCCAGAAAAUACUUUUGAGGCAAGUAUUUCCCUCAGCACUCUCCUACAGAUUCUGAAACUGAGAUUAGUAAAACAGUAUAUUUUAUUGAAUCCCUACGGUGUCAUCAUUUAAUAGUAUUUCACAGCUACAGUACAUCAUCACAUUACAUUACACUCUCACUGUCGCCAUGCAAACUAUGAUACCAUGAAGUGAUAACAUAGUGUAAUGAGACAUACAAUCCAGUGUAAUGUGAUAUACAAGAAAGUCAAUGCAGCAUAUCUCCAAAAUUACCCUCAUUUAAAGGGAAACCCAAUGAAUAUUUCAUACAAAUUCACAGGUCAUUCAUUUUCUUCAUUUUUCAGAUGUGUUAAAUCUCUGUGCAUCUUGAUAAUUCCACAGAGAACUUUAAUAAUAUAUGACUGUUAAGAAAGCUGAAAUUAUAAAACAAAAAAUACUUCGCAUGCAAGUUUCUGAAAGGACUUUGAAACUUUUCAGGA